AAGGGUUAACGGUGAAAACGACCGAGUAGUACAGUCUAAACCUCAGUCAACACUCCGGUCGAUGGAAGAAAGCCCCCGACACUGGGUAUUGCGGCGCAAAUAGAUCAAGUUACCUGCUGGGACAUGAAAUAUGCGUGGGAACAGUUACAGGCAGAAACAUAACAGAAACGGAAUGACGAAGGAAAAUGUCCUGGGAUACAGAGCAAGAUACUGAAGGAAACUUUCCACGUGGAUACGAGAUGCUGAAGAUAAAAAAAGCGAAAAAUGCUAUCGUAAAAACUUUAAAAUUAAUAUAUUUUAAACUGAUUGAUCUUAAUUUACAACCUUUUAUAGCUCAUAUCAGGGAGAGAUUGAGAGCUCGAUUACCAUCCACUGUCUGGGAAAUGAGCCCGCGCUCCUUGUCCAAACGGUGGAAAUAGAGUUUUGGAGGGAUGCAGGAGAUUGAUCAUGACGAAAAAAGAAAUUGGAUACGUCAUUCCGAGUUUGAAAGGAAGAAGGCACGAAGUUCCUCAUGGGACAGAAAGGCAAAUACAAAGCAAAUUUUUUUAAGCUUA